GAGCCGGAAAAAGCAAGCGGGCUACCGGGAUGUCAGGCCCGGAGCCUGCCCUCCCUAGCAAGGCGUCCCAUUGGUCCGGAUUCAAGCCCCGCCCCAAAGGUGUGGUCUACGCACAAGCCCCGCCCACACUCUCCUAAGCUGCCUGUGCUUACCAAACUCUUCCACGUGCGUCUGGGGUGUCUUCUGCAACGUAGUGGGUCACGAUCCUCAGAGUCUCCCGUGACCGACAGACUAGCAUAUGCCCAAGGUGCGGGUCUGACUGCAACCCGAGCUCCGAGGCGUCCCCAGGAGUAUCUGAAAGGGGCGCGUGACGACUGCGGAAAAGUGGAGUGGGCGGAACCGCGGCACCUGACUCAGGUGUGUACUCGGGAACAGCAAGCUACGUCGGUCGGCGCCUUCCGUAGUCGUACUAUUCCAGUUUCUCCGGAGACCCAGAAUGUCCUGGGGCUUCCAGUCUCGUCCCUUUCACGUCCAGAUGAGACCCUCUCCUCGUCCAGUUUCAGCCCGUAGGCUGCGCUCUUCUCUUCGGCCACCGGAGGGAGCCGUGAACCUCCAUCCAGACGCUGGUCCGGGUGAAUAAGCAGGUCUUACCAACGGCGCUUCCUCACCUAUAAAACGGGACUUAACUAUGACAUCCCUUCUAAAAGAGCAUUGGAGAAUUAA
rnacentral:sRNA from 1 species